GACGAACGCUGGCGGCGUGCUUAACACCUGCAAGUCGAACGGAAAGGCCUGCUUUCCCUUGUGGAUUGCGGGUACUCGAGUGGCGAACGGGUGAGUAACACGUGAGUGAUCUGCCCCCAACUUGGGUAUAAGCCUGGGAAACUGGGUCUAAUUCCCGAUAGGACUGCAGGGUGGUGCCUGUGGUGGAAAACGAUUUUCUAGUGGUUGGGGAUGAGCUCGCGGCCUAUCAGCUUGUUGGUGGGGUAAUGGCCUACCAAGGCGGCGACGGGUAGCCGGCCUGAGAGGGUGGACGGCCACAUUGGGACUGAGAUACGGCCCAGACUCCUACGGGAGGCAGCAGUGGGGAAUAUUGCACAAUGGGCGGAAGCCUGAUGCAGCGACGCCGCGUGGGGGAUGACGGCCUUCGGGUUGUAAACUCCUUUCGACCGCGAGGAAGCCACCUGGUUGGAAGGGUGGUGACGGUAGUGGUAGAAGAAGCACCGGCUAACUACGUG
rnacentral:rRNA from 1 species